ensembl:snRNA U6 U6 spliceosomal RNA
GUGCUCACUUCAGAAGCACAUAUUAAAAUUGGAACUCCACAGAGAUUAACAUGGCACCUGUGCAAGGAUGACACACAAAUUUGUGAAGAGCUCCAUAUUAUA